rnacentral:tRNA from 1 species
UGGUACGUAGCUUAACUGGCAAAGCGCCUGGUUGUUACCCAGGACGAUGGAGGUUCGAUUCCUCUCGUACCAGC